rnacentral:rRNA from 1 species
GCUUACAGCCUUGUCUGAUCUCGGAAGAUAAGCAGGGGCGGGCCUGGUUAGUACUUGGAUAGGAGACUGCCUGAAAAUACCAGGUGCUGUAAGCU